GCACGGGGAGGUAGUGACAAAAAAAUAACGAUACGGGACUCAUCCGAGGCCCCGUAAUCGGAAUGAGAACACCCUAAAUCCUUUAACGAGGAUCUAUUGGAGGGCAAGUCUGGUGCCAGCAGCCGCGGUAAUUCCAGCUCCAAUAGCGUAUAUUAAAGUUGUUGCGGUUAAAAAGCUCGUAGUUGGUUCUGCGUGCCACGCUGUCGGUUCACCGCCUGCCGGUGCAACUGGCAUGCCGUGGCAUGUCCUGUCGGUGGCGGAUAGGCUUCGCGGCGUGCCCCAUGCGGCUUUACGUCAUGUGGGUUGUCGCUCCGCGUUGUCCUUGUACGCCGGCUCAAUCCUACCGCGGUGCUCUUUACCGAGUGUCGAGGUAGGCCGACAAUGUUUACUUUGAACAAAUUAGAGUGCUUAAAGCAGGCUCUUGAAUCAGCCUGAAUAGUGGUGCAUGGAAUAAUGGAACAGGACCUUGGUUCUAUUUUGUUGGUUUUCGGAAUCCAAGGUAAUGAUCAAUAAGGACAGGCGGGGGCAUUCGUAUUGCGACGUUAGAGGUGAAAUUCUUGGAUCGUCGCAAGACGCACUAGAGCGAAAGCAUUUGCCAAGUAUGUCUUAAUUGAUCAAGAACGAAAGUUAGAGGUUCGAAGGCGAUCAGAUACCGCCCUAGUUCUAACCAUAAACGAUGCCAGCCAGCGAUCCGCCGAUGUUCCUCCGAUGACUCGGCGGGGAGCUUCCCCCGGGAAACCAAAGCUUUUGGGUUCCGGGGGAAGUAUGGUUGCAAAGCUGAAACUUAAAGGAAUUGACGGAAGGGCACCACCAGGAGUGGAGCCUGCGGCUUAAUUUGACUCAACAC
rnacentral:rRNA from 1 species